rnacentral:rRNA from 1 species
AUUGAACGCUGGCGGCAGGCCUAACACAUGCAAGUCGAACGAGUCGCAGACGUGAGAGUAAUGUCUGGGAAACUGCCUGAUGGGGGGGGAAAACUACUGGAAACUGUAGCUAAUACCGUAUACUAUCAGAUGUGCCUAUAUGGGAUUAGCUAGUAGGUGGGGUAAAGGCUCACCUAGGCGACGAUCCCUAUCUGGUCUGAGAGGAUGACCAGCCACACUGGAACUGAGACACGGUCCAGACUCCUACGGGAGGCAGCAGUGGGGAAUAUUGCACAAUGGGCGCAAGCCUGAUGCAGCCAUGCCGCGUGUAUGAAGAAGGCCUUCGGGUUGUAAAGUACUUUCAGCGGGGAGGCGUUACCCGCAGAAGAAGCACCGGCUAACUCCGUGCCAGCAGCCGCGGUAAUAC